rnacentral:sRNA from 1 species
AAUAAACUCAUUAUGUGUAAAUAACACACACGGGUCGGCACAUACACCGGGGUGCUCUCAUGCGGCUAAUCAUAUGGGUAGCUUGCAGCUAAAGAGUCGGUGUCAUGGGACCUGUGGAGGCAUAACC